UGACCAGACUCCUACGGGAGGCAGCAGUGGGGGGUAUUGCACAAUGGGGGAAACCCUGAUGCAGCGACGCCGCGUGGGCGAAGAAGUAUUUCGGUAUGUAAAGCUCUAUCAGCAGGGAAGAAAAUGACGGUACCUGAGUAAGAAGCUCCGGCUAAAUACGUGCCAGCAGCCGCGGUAAUACGUAUGGAGCAAGCGUUAUCCGGAUUUACUGGGUGUAAAGGGAGCGCAGGCGGUCUGGCAAGUCUGAUGUGAAAUACCGGGGCUCAACUCCGGGACUGCAUUGGGAACUACCGGGCUGGAGUGCCGGAGAGGUAGGCGGAAUUCCUAGUGUAGCGGUGAAAUGCGUAGAUAUUAGGAGGAACACCAGUGGCGAAGGCGGCCUACUGGACGGUGACUGACGCUGAGGCUCGAAAGCGUGGGGAGCAAACAGGAUUAGAUGCCCCUGUAAG
rnacentral:rRNA from 1 species